AGAGUUUGAUCCUGGCUCAGGACGAACGCUGGCGGCGCGCCUAACACAUGCAAGUCGAACGAGAGAUGAGGAGCUUGCUCUUCAAAUCGAGUGGCGAACGGGUGAGUAACGCGUGAGGAACCUGCCUCAAAGAGGGGGACAACAGUUGGAAACGACUGCUAAUACCGCAUAAGCCCACGGCUCGGCAUCGAGCAGAGGGAAAAGGAGCAAUCCGCUUUGAGAUGGCCUCGCGUCCGAUUAGCUAGUUGGUGAGGUAACGGCCCACCAAGGCGACGAUCGGUAGCCGGACUGAGAGGUUGAACGGCCACAUUGGGACUGAGACACGGCCCAGACUCCUACGGGAGGCAGCAGUGGGGAAUAUUGCACAAUGGGGGAAACCCUGAUGCAGCGACGCCGCGUGGAGGAAGAAGGUCUUCGGAUUGUAAACUCCUGUUGUUGAGGAAGAUAAUGACGGUACUCAACAAGGAAGUGACGGCUAACUACGUGCCAGCAGCCGCGGUAAAACGUAGGUCACAAGCGUUGUCCGGAAUUACUGGGUGUAAAGGGAGCGCAGGCGGGAGAACAAGUUGGAAGUGAAAUCCAUGGGCUCAACCCAUGAACUGCUUUCAAAACUGUUUUUCUUGAGUAGUGCAGAGGUAGGCGGAAUUCCCGGUGUAGCGGUGGAAUGCGUAGAUAUCGGGAGGAACACCAGUGGCGAAGGCGGCCUACUGGGCACCAACUGACGCUGAGGCUCGAAAGUGUGGGUAGCAAACAGGAUUAGAUACCCUGGUAGUCCACACCGUAAACGAUGAUUACUAGGUGUUGGAGGAUUGACCCCUUCAGUGCCGCAGUUAACACAAUAAGUAAUCCACCUGGGGAGUACGACCGCAAGGUUGAAACUCAAAGGAAUUGACGGGGGCCCGCACAAGCAGUGGAGUAUGUGGUUUAAUUCGACGCAACGCGAAGAACCUUACCAAGUCUUGACAUCCCUUGACGAACAUAGAAAUAUGUUUUCUCUUCGGAGCAAGGAGACAGGUGGUGCAUGGUUGUCGUCAGCUCGUGUCGUGAGAUGUUGGGUUAAGUCC
rnacentral:rRNA from 1 species